rnacentral:lncRNA from 1 species
CGGAAGUUUUAGCUUUUUUAUAUUUUUCCAUUAUUACGUCCUCAUGUUUGACAUCUUUUUUUCUUCUAGUUGCUUAUCAUUAAUAUGAUGCAGACAUUUUGUUUAAAAAGACCUCAUUAAAUCAUUUAGGAACACUCAUUAGUCCUGUCAUUGGGUAAAAUUGAUUUUUAAAUUUUCUAGAAGAGCUGUUUUCUAAUUCUCGAACUUAAAAAUAAACUGAAUACAUAUAUUAUAAUGCAAAAUUUAAAACUAACUUCGUGUGACUGGAGUAAAUCGG